GGGCAGUAAGGGCAAGGAACUCGAGAGGCGAAAGUUAAUUGGUCAUUACACUACAACACCGGCGCGUGUCAGAGCAGAUGCUGUAAUAAAUCAUCCACAUGGAGGUAAGCAGGAGGAUGAUGAUGAGGAAAAUCUGCAGAAGAGAUCUUCAGUUCGGGUUCAUCCUUGCUUCCCUCCUGACAAGGUGAAUUUAUGUUGUUUGACUGGUGGACCUCCUCUGUUUCCUUGUCCUGGGCCAUCAUUCUGCAGGGUUCACAUUGAUUUCCUGUGGUCAAACAGUUAAACUCAUAGCAAGAGCUGAUAGACAUGGCUACUCUCUCUGCUCACAGACUGCCACUUCUGCACCAUGAAUGACGGGUACCACGAAGCUGCUGGAAUGAUUUCCUGGACCUGCUAAAGGAAGCAACUUUUAAGGAUCUCUUCCGGAUACGGAUGGCAUGACACUAAUUUUAUGGUCUGCGUUAUCAGUUGUGUUAUCAGGCGAUUGUGGCAAUGGGUUGGUAAGGAUUUAUGCGAAUGCGUGUGCAAAGUGAUGAACAGCCACAAAUUUUACCCAUGAUAUAAAGUGAUCUACCAUCUAUUUUAUCGUAUAAAUUGUGGCAGAUGUUGCACAUGAUCGAGAUCUGUGUCCUCAACGAAGUUUCAACUGAGUAGCGUGACUGAGAACUUACAAACGUAUGAGGCAGCAUUGCUCUUUUCAUCCGGGUGGGGCUGAGAUUUGAGGUGCUUCUUUCUUGAAACACUCCUUUGUCCUAAUGAAAUAAUUCUUUGUGUGCCUUGCUUUUUUUUUCUUCGAAGCAUAAGGUUUAAAGCAUGAAUAAUGCUUUAUUCAAAAGGUUAAACAGUAUUAACAAAUCAACUAAAUCUUUGUCCCCUGUGUUCCAACUGCUAUGAGGUCAAUAAUUUAUUUGUUUCCAACUUUAAUGUAGUUUAGUGUAAUUUUUUUUUUUUUAAAGCUAGUAGAUGUAAUAAGAUUUAUUACUCAAUUUGAAAAAUAAAAAAAUAAUAAUAAAGAAAACUUAAAGAAAUAUUAAUAGCAUUUUCAAAUAUCACAAUACA